GGGCACUAUUGAAAUUAUUCAGCCAAAUCAGUAAGCCAGGCGACGGACCUAGACAUCUGUCAAGUCUAUGCUACCAAGCCGGGGCUCCUCUCGAGGACCCAAAUAAUAGACCCAUAAAACUCCGUUCUGCGGAACCCAAAUCCAAAAUCGAAAGAACCACCGCCCUACGUUCGCCAUGCUACCAUACCAAGCGGGGGCUCGUCUCCGGAACUGAAGGUAUGCUUACCGUCGUGGAGGUUCCCCUCGCACUGGGGAUCUCUCCGCCAGGCGUCGACGAGCUGGAUGACUCCGGCGCGGCGGCGAAGUGCGACGGACGAGGGCUCUGUAGCGGCGGGGGUCCUACGCCGCUUGCGACCGGUUCCGGAGGCCUUGACGGCGCUAGGGAUGGCAAAUCUGCCCGCGGGUACGGGUAUCCGCGGGUUUCGUACCUGAUGGGCACGGAUACGGACACGGUCACGUACUCACGUUGGCGGCUAUCGGGCAUCGGCUGGGUCCCUGAGAGAUUGAAACACCGUGCUCACUGCUCACGGCGGCCGGCGGCUCCCUAGCGGCGGCCGGCGGCAGACCGGCAGUGUGCUAGUGCGGCAGACCGGCAGCGGCAGUGCAGGCGGCUGACCCUCUCCCUCAGGCCUUCACUCCCUUGGCGGCGCGCCGGCGCGGCAAGCUGGCAAGCUCUUGGCCGUCGGAGACAGUGGCAGUGGUUUUUUAUUUCUAUUUGUAAUGUCAACUCCGGGAGACAGUGGCAGUGGUGCUGGACCUACUAGUGGUGGUGGUCGACGCGAUUCUAGAGCUCCAACUCCAUCAUCUACGCCACGAGAUCCUACUCCUACACCAUCUGAUGGAAUAGCGCCUACUCCUACUGAUGGUCAAGGUACUGGAACCACCAACACUGAUGCUGUUGAAAUAGAUGAGGAUGUUAGGGUUGGUAGUAAAAGGAAGCUUAAAUCUGAUGUAUGGCAAGACUUUGAAAGAGUCUGUGUAGGUGGUACUUGGAAAGCUAAAUGCAAUUGGUGUCACAAAACACUAUCAGCUGUAUGUAGAAAUGGUACAAGUCACUUGCGUAGCCACGUAAACAGCUGUGAAUCUCGACAAACAAGAAAAGGUCUAAAACAGUCCACUUUGAAAUUAUCUAAAACACAAGAUGGAAAUGUUCUAUUGGAGAAGUAUGUGUUUGAUCAAGCUGUUGCUAGAAAAGAACUCGCAUUGAUGAUAUGUGUUCAUGAGUACCCACUUUCUAUUGUUGAGCAUGUUGGUUUUAGAAGGUUUUGUGCUGCAUUGCAACCUUUAUUUAAGGUUAUGUCAAGAAAUACAAUUAGAAAGGAUAUUUUGGACAUGUACCAAGUGCAAAAGGUAUCCAUGGUGCAUCAGUUCCAGCAACUGGGAUCUCGUAUUGCUGUCACCACGGAUAUGUGGACAGCAAACCAUCAGAAAAAAGGCUACAUGGCUGUGACUGUUCACUAUAUCGAUGAGAGUUGGAAUCUAAAAAACUA